GACGAACGCUGGCGGCGUGCUUAACAUAUGCAAGUCGAACGGAAAGGCCCUGCUUUUUUGCGGUGCUCGAGUGGCGAACGGGUGAGUAACACGUGAGUAACCUGCCCUUGACUUUGGGAUAACUUCAGGAAACUGGGGCUAAUACCCGAUAGAAGCUCCUGCUGCAUGGUGGGGGUUGGAAAGUUGCGGCGGUUGGGGAUGUACUCGAGGCUUAUCAGCUUGUUGGUCGGGUAUUUGCUUACCAAGGCUUUGACGGGUAGCCGGCCUGAGAGUGUGACCGCGCACAAUGGGACUGAGAGAGGCACCAGACUGGUAUGGGAGGCAGCAGUCGCGAACAUUGCCCAACCGUCGCAAGUGUGAUGUGACAACGCUGGGUGCGGGAACACGGCUUUUGGGUUGUAAACAGCUUUCGCCUGAGACGAAGCGGGCGUGACGGUAACGGGUAAAGAAGCACCGGCUAACUACGUG
rnacentral:rRNA from 1 species